GCCAGUGUGGAGUAGUGAUUUGACUGUUCGACUACAACUCUGGAGACCAGGGUUCGAAUCCCAGCUUAGCCA